GAAGGUCUUGUGGGAACAACAUUUGUACUUCUAUAUGCAUAUAUUGAUGAAAUUUCAAUAAAUAUGUUAUUGUUAUUAUAUUUUACUCAAUUAUUUUAAUAUAAAUAAUAAAAUAAAUUAUUUAUCACAUCCCACCCACCAAACUACCCGUAAUAUAAAAUAAACACGGCCUUCUCAGAAAAUUACAAAGAACAUAAAAUAAUGAUUGACCCACGCCCAAUUUGCCCACUUUUCCCCAAUUGGCCCCCUCUCACGAAAAUUCUAUAAAUCACUAUCUUCAUUUUCUAUUUAAAGGAGUGGACACACACAGUUUUAGCAUAGCUUCUCAUAUUAUUAAUACACACAACAAAUUACAAAACAAAAUAUACUAAAAUCUGCUUUUUUUUAGCUUCUUUUCAUCAUCUAAUCUCACAAAAAUCUGAUCUUUCCUGUUUUGUAGACUAAAUACAGAUUAAUUCCAACUGGAUUUUGUUCCCUUUUCCCCCCUCUCCAUAACGACCCUAAUUUGCAGUUCUGUAUUUAUAUAUAUCUCCUUCUUGAUUUGGAGGGUUUUCUUCUUUAGAAAGAACAGAGAAAAGGGUGUCUUUUGUUUGUGGAGUUAUUUCGAUAUGGCAAUGACGAAAACCUUAUCUAUGAUCUCAAGAACAGGAAGAGACUUGCAGAGAUACAAUGAUGGAUGUCGUCAAGUUGUUGGGUGCGUAUUAAUUUUUGAUUUUUUUGGUUUAAUUUCAAGAAAGUUGAAAUCUUUUUAUGUGGGGUUGUGUUUAAUUUUGAAAUCAAUUUCUGGGUAUGUUGAUCUGAUUUUUCUGUAAAUUUUUACCAAUGGUGCAGAUGCAUUCCGUACAGAUAUAGAAAAACCAAUCAAUCAUCUACAGUUCAAGGGACCCAAAUCGAUGAUUUGGAAUUCUUAUUGAUCAGCUCACAGAAGAGUCCAAAGUGGAUGUUCCCUAAGGUAUAAUUUCAAUCCAGUUUGUUUGUUUGCUGUAUUUGGCUCCAUAUUUGGAGUUUGGAUACUACUCUUAAUCAUUCUUGGAUUUGACAUUUUUUUGUUCUGUGAUGAAAUUACAGGGUGGUUGGGAAACUGAUGAGGCAUUAGAAGAUGCUGCUUUAAGAGAGACUUUUGAGGAAUCUGGUGUAAUUGGUGAUGUUGAGGUUCAGGAGUAUUUAGGUACUUGGAGUUUUAAGAGCAAAAGCCAAGGGACAUUUCAUCAGGGGCAUAUGUUUCCUUUGCUUGUCACAGAAGAACUGGAAGAUUGGCCUGAGAAAACUGUCCGAAAACGUCUAUGGGUAAGUUGUGAAUCUGCAUAUCUUAGCUGCUGUGAUCUCGAAUCACUUUGAUUUGUGUAAUUUGUUAGUUGGAUAGUGUAUCCUGAUGUUAUAUUUGAUUUUAUCUUGCAGUUGAAAUUUAGUGAAGCAAGAGAAGUAUGUUGGCAUUCCUGGAUGAAGGAAGCUUUAGAUGUCUUUGCCUCUAAGCUCACAAAGAGAAAUAAAGACGAUGAGCCUCAGACAUGCCCUUUUGAUGAAUUGUGCUAUGAACAGACGGUUGCUACUGUAUCUAAUUCUAACACAAUGUUUUAUGAAGAACCAAUAAUCAGCAUUGAAGCUAAUGACUUGACCUGUGAGGAGGAGCUGAGAAUUAGCCUUGUAGCUAAGCCUUCUCUAGGUAAGUUCAUGUUCAAUGAAGAAGCAAGGCGAAAGCCGUUUUUCAAUGAAAUUAGUAAUGUAGCCAACUCAAUGUUCAGUGAAGAAGCAACCAUGAGCACCAAAGCCCAGAAGAUGUUCAAUGAAAAAUUGGGAAGAAUAAGCAUUGCUGCUUUCAGCUAGCAAACAAAUGAUGGAAGAACCUCAAGACUUCUAAAAACCGAGAAUGAGGAACCAGGGACGCCUAUCCUGUAGAAUUCUCGACGAGUUGGGAGCCAAGAACCAGCAUUAUGUAAAGGAGAAAGAAAGAACCUUGGAACGCUGUCGACAGAAAUUUUGAUGACUCUAAAAAUGCAGGACUUGGCAUUGUUACCCACAAUCUGCAAAGAAAGAAGAAUCAUCUGUGGAUGCAGUUACAGGCAGCAGUAUUUUGCACCAGAGAAAGAACUUUUCAAAUCCCUGCCUGAUAGGAUUCUCUAUAUUGUCCCUUUAACCAGAUAAGAAGUUUGAGUUAACCUUGCUUUAGAUUAUCCAAAGAGAAACUAAUCCAGUCUCUCAAAGGCAUAAUACAUACAUAGGCACACAAACUUGGCCUUAAUUGGCAAGUAAACACUCCAACUUUGGGAGUGGACACAUGAUGCCGACAUGACAUAUAAAUUUUGGACGUGUUCAAAUGAGUUGAGGGGUCUAGAUGUGCAUCCUCCUUGGAGCGUUCAGUUGUCAGUUGAGGUCAAAUAUGCAUUAUAUACCUUUCUCGAACUCCAGAUAUAGGUUAUGCUUGAUAGAGAGAUCUUUCAGGAUAGAGAUAUUUAGAGGUUAAUCGCAUAAGUUUCUAACUUCAUUCUUUAAUUCUUUUUUGUUGUUACAAGAUGUACAUAUGAUCAUUUAGUUCUAUGUAAAAGAACACCAAAAUUGAACCCAAAAAAAUUGUCCCUAGUUGUUGACAUUACCCUGUUGAUUCAAUUAUUGAAGUAUAAAUUAAUGGAUAUGAUGUUCUUGACUUGUCUGAGUUCUGGACAAAUUUACUACUGUUGGGAUGGAUAGGUGAGGAACUUGAUUUUUCAGACUCAUUUACCAACCAUAUACUAUAGUUUUAUUUUAAGCUCUAGAAAAGAGACCAGUUCAACAUAUCAUUGCCGACAUGAUAGAAAAUAAUAAUGAAGCAAAUUGCAGUUGACUGUAUAACAUAACAUUACAUUACAAGGAAAUUGCUAUGAAAGAAAGAAACAUGGUUUAGAAUUAUUUUGUUGGAAGCAUCCAUGAGUCGUGGAGUGUCUUUGAGAAUCAUAUGGUUUUGUUUAAUGAUGUUAUGGACAUGCUUGUUGGGAGUUCACGAAGAAGACAUACCCAUCAUGUACCAAAUAUCUCUUUAAAAACUCAAGAUAUGGUUGAUGAAGUAGUGAUAAAAUAAUCCGUCGUUUGGUGUGAGGUAUAAGGUAUGAUAAUUUCGGACUUGUGUUUGGUUGGAGGUAUUAGGUAGUCAUUGGAUUAUUUAUCUCACCAUUUAUAUCACAGUGAUGGGAAAAGUUAUCGCACUAUGUAUAUCUCAAGAUAACUUGUUCCCAACCAAACGACCCUAAGAGAAAUAAUGGUCACUUCAUGACAACUAAACUUAGUGGCCUUUAGAGAUAUUAACUCGAUUCGAUUUUCAAAACUUAGUGACCUAUUGAGAUAUUAACUUAUUUAAGUUUCGAAGUUCUAAGACAUUAUUGUAUUUUCCUUUGUCGUUUAUUAUUAAUUUCUUUUAUAGUGACAACUAUAAAGAAGAAGAUAAGAAUUAGUGAAGUUUUGUUCUGUUUUAUCUGUUGUUUUGUGGUGUGAUUGUGACCAACUUUUCUUACUAAUUCGAUCCAAGACAUAUCCACACACAUGAAUACGAGAGAUUUGAUUUUAUAGUCCUUUUGAUAGUUAGUUUAUUAUAUUUUUCACAAGAGAUCAAUAUGAUAACAAAAGCAGAAACUUCAAAACGUCUAGAGGCCCGUUUGAUAACAAGUAUUAGUUACCAAACGACCCCUUGAUGUGUACAUUUUGGUUAUUAAACAUGCUCAUAUUAGUGCAAAAUCAAAGGUCCAUUUGCUGUUAAUGUUUUUAAUUUAAUUUAAUAAUGGAUUCAUAACUUAUUAAAGUAAAUUAAAUCUUUUAAUAAGUUGCAUGUCACCAGCCUAACUAUAAAACAAAGUUGUCUAUGUUUCAUCAAAGACAAAUUUGGUAUUAAGACUUAUCUUGAUUUCUUAUCUCAUGUUUUUGUGUGUUCACAUUAGUAUCCACUUGUGGGUGCGUGACAUGUUAGAAUCAAGUGGACAUAUAUUCUAUUACAAAAAAGGUUUUAUUUUUUAUAAUUUCACUCUUUAUAAUGUACUAUACUUUAUAGGGAAAAGGGUCUGAUAUACCCCUCAACUUUGUCAUUUGGAGCUAAUAUGCCCCUCGUUAUGAAAGUGAUCCAUCUAUACCCUUACCGUUAUACAAACGGCUCACAUAUACCCCUACCGUUACAAAAUGAGCUCGCAUAUACCCUUAAUUUAACGGAAGUGAAAAAAAUAGUUUUAAAUUUAUAUUUUUGACUUUUAUUUUUUUUAAAAAAAUUAUGUAGGUGUAUAUAUGAACUUCUAGCAAAGUUCAAGGUAUAUUUUAAUAUUUUUUAUAAAUAAAUUAUUUUUUGACAUCCUUGAUUAUGAACUUAUCAUUAUUUGAGUUUCUUAUUCUUAUUUUAUUAUUUUCUUUCACUCCUUAAUUAGUGUAAAGAGAAAAUUUUAAAACUAAUUUUUUGUGGCUAUAUUAUACUUUAAAACUAAUUUUUCCGACUAUAUGGUUAUUUAGUUUUUGUAUUUGAAAAAAAAAUGGGUCAUCUAUGUUAAAUUUUACAAGAAAAUUAGUGAAACAAAAAUACAUUUGAUCAUCAAAAUAAUAACUUUAAAUUAGUCGUUGAAACAAAAAAAAAUCAAAAAAAAAAAAUGUGCAAGGAGGAUUAAAUAUACCCAUAUGAGAUUAUCUAUAUUUUUUUAAAAAACACAUUAGAAAAAUAAAAUUAAAGUUAAUUUUCUCACUUCCGUUAGAGGAAAAGGGUAUAUGUGAGCCAUUUGAAUAAUAGUAGGGGCAUAUAUGAGCCACUUUCAUAAUGAGGGGUAUAUCAGCUCUAAAUGACAACGUUGAGGGGUAUAUCAGACCCUUUUCCCUACUUUAUAUUACUUAUUACUUAUUAAGAAAAUAGUAACAUAAAUUCAGAUUCUACUUAUGAAAUUAUACUUAGGUAUGUUGUUGUUGUAAACUAGGAGUGUAGAUUCAGAUUCUAUUUAUGAAAUUAUACUCAGGUAUGUUGUUGUUUGUGAAGUAGAAACGUAAAAUAUAUUUUCAAGAGUGUAUUCAUUUUCACCGAAGGUCUCAAGUUCAGGCUUGAAUCAACAAUAAUAACAUAUCUAGUGAUCAUUGUAUAUUCACACAGUAAAAUCUGAAAAGAACUUAAAUAUGGAGUUAAAUUAAAAUGAUCAUCUCAAAUUUCUUUAUUCUUUCCAAUAAUCCUAAGUGACCAAAUUGUUAUUUCUUCUAUGCAUUUGCAAGUUUUUUUUUUCACAAGCAUCUAUGGAAGAACUAACAAGAAAAUGAAGGAAAAAAGAAAUUUGAUCAUCAAAAUUCAAACCAAUUAAACCAAAUUAAUCGUUGAAUUAAAGACAAAAAAAAGUUAUGUGUGAGAAGGUUUAAAUACACCCCUCAGCGUUACGUGAAAGAUUAAAUAUACUCCUAACGUUUCUUUUAGUUUAAUUAAAAAAAAUAUUCUAAUCAAUUAUCACUCCCGCCUCCCCCCGGCCAAAAAAAAAUGUGUAUUCUUUUAUUGGGUUAUAUAUAUCUAAUAUCAACGGUCGACUUAGGCAUUUCAAAUUCAAAAUUCAAAAUCUCAUCCUUUCUAUUAAAAAAGCCUUCAAAAGAAGAACACGAAGAAGCAAAUCGCCAUUGAAACGCCAGAAUGGGAAGACUUGGAGUGAAAACUGACUAUGAAGAACUCCGAAACGCUCAAAUUUUGGAAAACAAGGUCCUCCUCUCUCUCAAUUUGAGUGUAUCUAAUUUCUGUCAAUGUUAAUUUGUUAUAAGCUGACUUUCUUGGAUUACAGGCGCGAUUGGCCAGUCUUGGACUUCAAAAAACUGUGGCAGAGCUUCGAUCUAUCAGAUCUAAACCACAAUCUGAGAAGAGAAAAUACAACAAAGUUGACUACUUCUCAACCCCUUUGCGCCGAUCUAGUCGAUUGAAAGGCAACUCUUCCGAAUUGAAUUCAUGCGGCACUGCGCCGCUAGCGAAAAGUCUGUAUUUAUGUCUCUUUUCUCUUUUUUUGUUUUGGCCCCAUAAGUGUGGAUUUUGAAAUUAGAAUGUUGCCUUUUUGAAAUGUUGCUUUUAGGGAAAUUGGGGCUUUUUGAUGAAGAAGAUGAUGAGGAUGAUAUUGAGAAGAGACCAGCUAAUGCACCUCUGUUGAGAGUGAAAUAUGGCUUAAUGCUUCGUCUUACUCCGGAAGCUUUGACUCGGCGUUGCACAAGCAAGGAUAGGGGAACGUUAUAUGACCCUUAUUUGGGUAUUUGCUGUCACUUUUGCAGGUUUUGAACACGCUCUUGAAUACCCUUUUGCUUAUUAGUUUUUUGCCUUUUGUUUUAUGAAGUGUUUAAGUUCUGUGCACGGAUGGUGUAAAAAAUAUUUCCAUAAUCGAGUCAUUGUUAUAAUUAUGAGCCGAUAUCCUUGUAAAAAUUGUUAAGUAACCUGCUAUAACAAAGUCACCGCUAUAACCAUGAGAAGGGCGGAUCUAGGUGGACGGUAGGGGUUCAUCCGAAACCCUUGGAUCGAAAAAUUACACCGUAUAUAUAAGGUCAAAUUCAAUGUUUAUGAUUAUAUAGACUGAAAUGAACCCCCUCAACACAACUAGGAUGCAUAGCUUAGUGGUCAAGGGGGUUUAGAAUCUAUCCAAGGUUGCAAGUUCGACACUUACUCUCUGCAGCCGCGUGCCUAUACUUACUUUUAGUUUACUUAAUAUCAUUAUAUAUUAAGUAAUCUGCUAUAUAUGUACUGAUAGUGUAGAGAAUCCUUACCGUGUUAGGUAUAUAGAUUAAAACCUUUUGUAAAUCCCAGUUUCUGGUCACUCACUGUGCAGUGAAUUGAGGGACUUCCCUCAAGAGUCAAGACGGCUUCUUUGUUUUCUUUUUGCUAGGAUGCGUGACUUUUGCACUUGAAUUUACAUAUAUGCCAGCUUAGCUUGUCCUUACGUAUCACAAAAAUGCGAAGGUGUCACGCGAGGACCAAUUAAAAAUGAUAAUAUGUGAAUGUUAAUGCAGGCAAAAGAAAUUAUGUGGUGAAGAAGACUGUAAGCGAUGUGGUGAUUCAGACAUGGAUCAACCUUGCUUAGGUUAGUCUUACAAGUUGUUUAUUGUUUUGUGGUACUUACUAGUCUGUAAACAGACUGAUGAUUAUAAAAUUUCACAUACAGGCAAGACAGAUUGUUCAAUUUGUCAUUCUAGCCAAGGUGUUCUUUGCCGAGGUUGUCUUAAGGUUCGAUAUGGUGAAGGUGAGACAAUAACCAUGCAUUUUAGAUACUGAAGUUUAUAUGAAGUCACAUGGUUUUGAUCUUGAAGUCACUCAUGUUGUACACACUACUCUUCACUUUAUGAAAUUGAUUUCUGCCUUUUCACUUAUGAAUGUCGAUUAGUACUAAAUAUGUGCAAAUUGUACUAGAAAUGGAGGAUGUGAGAGCAAAUAAAGAAUGGAUAUGUCCUCAUUGUACUGAAGAAAAAGGUAUCAAUCCAUAUUGGAUAUGUAAUAGGUAUGUAGUGGUUUAUAAAACAGGACUAGCCGCUAGAUUAGUUAAGCUCUUUUGAUACUUGUUUUUUUU
rnacentral:lncRNA from 1 species